CUCGAACGCUGGCGGCAGGCUUAACACAUGCAAGUCGAGCGCCCCGCAAGGGGAGCGGCAGACGGGUGAGUAACGCGUGGGAAUCUACCCAUCUCUACGGAAUAACGCAUGGAAACGUGUGCUAAUACCGUAUACGUCCUUCGGGAGAAAGAUUUAUCGGAGAUGGAUGAGCCCGCGUUGGAUUAGCUAGUUGGUGGGGUAAAGGCCUACCAAGGCGACGAUCCAUAGCUGGUCUGAGAGGAUGAUCGGCCACACUGGGACUGAGACACGGCCCAGACUCCUACGGGAGGCAGCAGUGGGGAAUAUUGGACAAUGGGCGCAAGCCUGAUCCAGCCAUGCCGCAUGAGUGAUGAAGGCCCUAGGGUUGUAAAGCUCUUUCACCGGUGAAGAUAAUGACGGUAACCGGAGAAGAAGCCCCGGCUAACUUCGUGCCAGCCGCCGCCGUAACAC
rnacentral:rRNA from 1 species